rnacentral:rRNA from 1 species
AACUGAACGCCUACAAUCAGUAGGAGCCUCUUUAGAGGUGACUGCGUACCUUUUGUAUAAUGGGUCAGAGACUUAAUCUUAUGUGCAAGCUUAAGCCGUUAGGUGUAGGCGUAGCGAAAGCGAGUUUUAAAAGAGCGAAUAGUUCAUAGGAUUAGACCCGAAACCGAGUGAUCUAGCUAUGGGCAGGUUGAAGGCACGGUAAUACGUGCUGGAGGACCGAACCCACGUAUGUUGAAAAAUGCGGGGAUGACCUGUGGCUAGGGGUGAAAGGCCAAGCAAACUCGGAAAUAGCUGGUUCUCCGCGAAAACUAUUUAGGUAGUGCGUUGCGAUGAGGUUGCCGGGGGUAGAGCACUGGAUAGAGAAUGGGGGAGCGAUCCUUACUGACUCUAACCAAACUCCGAAUACCGGUCAACUAUGCGCAGCAGACAGACUAUGGGUGCUAAGGUCCAUAGUCGAAAGGGAAACAGCCCAGACCACCAGUUAAGGUCCCCAAGUUAUGGUUAAGUGGGAAAGGGAGUAGAAAGUCCAAUACAACCAGGAGGUUGGCUUAGAAGCAGCCAUUCCUUUAAAGAAAGCGUAACAGCUCACUGGUCUAAUUAAGUCUUUCCGCACCGAAGAUGUAUCGGGGCUAAAACCAUACACCGAAACUGUGGACACUCUUUUGAGUGUGGUAGCGGAGCGUUCCGUAAGCCGUUGAAGUCGUGUUGUAAAGCAUGAUGGAGGUAUCGGAAGCGAGAAUUCUGACAUGAGUAGCGAUUAAUAGUGCGAGAAACACUAUCGCCGUAUAUCCAAGGGUUCCUGCGCAAGGUUAUUCCACGCAGGGUAAGCCGGCCCCUAAGGCGAGGGCGAAAGCCGUAGCCGAUGGGAACCAGAUUAAUAUUUCUGGGCCUGCUAGUAGUGACGAAUGUUGAAUGUUGUAAUUUCUUAUUGGAUUGAAAUUGCAGCUAAGAUGUUCCAGGAAAUAGCUCUAGCAUAUAGACCGUACCCCAAACCGACACAGGUGGAUAAGUAGAGCAUACUAAGGCGUUUGAGAGAACGAUGUUGAAGGAACUCGGCAAAUUACUCUCGUAACUUCGGGAUAAGAGAGCCUUAAUCAUGGGCAACCAUUUUUAAGGGGCACAAACUAGGGGGUAGCGACUGUUUACUAAAAACACAGGGCUCUGCAAAGUCUUCAAGACGAAGUAUAGGGUCUGACGCCUGCCCGGUGCCGGAAGGUUAAAGUGAUGUGUGCAAGCAUUGAUCUGAAGCCCCGGUAAACGGCGGCCGUAACUAUAACGGUCCUAAGGUAGCGAAAUUCCUUGUCGGGUAAGUUCCGACCCGCAUGAAUGGCGUAACGACUUCCCCACUGUCUCCAACAUUGACUCAGCGAAAUUGAACUCUCCGUGAAGAUGCGGAGUACCCGUGGUUAGACGGAAAGACCCCGUGCACCUUUACUAUAGCUUCGUAGUGGUAUUAGUAAAUUGUUGUGUAGGAUAGGUGGGAGACUUUGAAGCAAGAGCGUCAGCUUUUGUGGAGUCGUCCUUGAAAUACCACCCUACAAUUUAUUGAUAUCUAACCAUGUUCCAUGAACCUGGAACUGGGACCCUGCGUGGUGGGUAGUUUGACUGGGGCGGUCGCCUCCUAAAGAGUAACGGAGGCGCGC